rnacentral:lncRNA from 1 species
AUGCCCAAAAUUCAACAAAUACCCAAAUCCCCAAAAUCCCAAAAAUCCACACCAAAAUACCCAAAAAUCCCCAAAGUUCCACACCUAAAAUCCCCAAAAUUCCCAUUUUUAUCCAAAAUUCCCAUUUUUUUCCCCAGAAUUCCUUUUUUCCUCCCAAAACCCCCAUUUUUCCCCCAAAAUCCCCAUUUUUUCCACAAAUCCCCUUUUUUUCUCCUAAAAUUUCCUUUUUUUUCCCCAAAAUCCCCAUUUUUCCCCCAAAAUUCCCAUUUUUAUCCAAAAUCCCCAUUUUUUCCCCAAAAUUCCCAUUUUUCCUCCAAAACACCCAUUUUUCCCCUAAAAUUCCAAUUUUUAUCCCAAAAUCCCCAUUUUUUGCCCCAAAAUCCCCAUUUGUCCCCCAGAAUUCCCAUUUUUCCCCAAAAUUCCAAUUUUUUUGCCCCAAAAUCCCCAUUCCCUCAAAAUUCCAUAUUUUCACCCUCAAAAUUCCCAAUUUUCCCUCCAGAACCACCAUUUUUUUCCCAAAAUUCUCAAUUUUUCCCUCAAAAUUCCCAUUUAUUCCCAAAAUCCCCAUUUUUCCCUCCUAAAAAAAAAAUCCCUUUUUCCCCCAAAUCCCAAUUUUACCCCCCAAAAUCCCAAUUUUUCCACCCAAAAUUCCCAUUUUUCCCCCAAAAUCCCCAUUUUUUUCACCCAGAAUUCCCAUUUUUUCCCAAAUUUCCCAUUUUUCCCCCAAAAUCCCCAUUUUUCACCCCAAAAUCCCCAUUUUUUUCACCCAGAAUUCCCAUUUUUUUCCCAAAAUUCCCAUUUUUCCCACCUGUGUCUGUGCUCGCGGCUCCGGCUCCGCUUCUUCCGGCUGCUGAAAUUGGGGAAAAAACGGGAAAAUUUGGGAAAAAUCCCAGAAAAUUCCCAAAAAUCCCAGAAAAACUCGGGGGAAAUUCGAAAAAUUUGGGAAAAAUCCGGAAAAUUUGGGAAAAAUCCGAGAAAAUUUGGGAAAAAUCCAGAAAAAUUUUAAAAAUCCACAAAAAAAUCAGGGAAAAUCCGAAGGGAAAUUCCCAAAAAUCCCAAAGGAAAAAUUGGGAAAAUUUGGAAAAAUUGGGAAAAUUUUGGGAAAAAUACACAAAAAAUUGGGAAAAUCCAGAAAAAAAAAAAUCUGUGGAAAAAAGGGGAAAUUCAAUAAAAAUUGGGGAAAAUUUGGAAAGAAAAAAUAGGAAAAAUUGGAAAAAAUUUAGGAAAAUUAAAAUACAAAAAUCCAGGAAAAAUUGGUGA